rnacentral:rRNA from 1 species
CCCUUAGAUGUUCUGGGCCGCACGCGUGCUACACUGAGUGGAUCAGCGGGUCAGGUUGCGCGAAAGCGUUUCCUAAUCUUUAAAUCCGCUCGUGAUGGGGAUUGACGGUUGCAAUUUUCUGUCAUGAACGAGGAAUACCUUGUAAGCGCGGGUCAUCAUCCCGCGCUGAAUACGUCCCUGCCCUUUGUACACACCGCCCGUCGCGCCUACCGAUUGAGUGGUCCGGUGAGGCUUUGGGAUCUGAGCGGAAAGAGCGUUUCGCUGUUUCUGCUCGGAAAACUCAGUCGAACCUUAUCAUUUAGAGGAAGGAGAAGUCGUAACA